UACGGGGGGGGCAAGCGUUGUUCGGAAUUACUGGGCGUAAAGGGCCAGUAGGCGGCCAACUAAGUCCGACGUGAAAUCCCCAGGCUUAACCUGGGAACUGCGUCGGAUACUGGAUGGCUUGAAUUCGGGAGAGGGAUGCAGAAUUCCAGGUGUAGCGGUGAAAUGCGCAGAUAUCAGGAAGAACACCCGUGGCGAAGGCGGUUCUCUGGGACGGUACUGACGCUGGAGACGCGAAAGCGUGGGGAGCGAACAGG
rnacentral:rRNA from 1 species